GGGAGGGGAGGGGUGGACUGUCUCAGGUGGCUGUCGUUUUGAGAGCUUAUCAAGAUCAGGCGAGUCUUGACUCAUGGCUGAGGGUCAGGGGUCAGAUCUUAGGCUUACAGGUUCCACCAAUGAACAACAUUUAUCAUCUCAUAGUCGAACCUCUUCAGUUUGACAGACUGGUUUUGGUUUCUGUGGUGUUUGUACAUCUUCUCUUCCCUAUAGAUUAUGCUUAUUUCACAAAUCACUUAACAUGUAGUCAGUGUAGAGAUGAUUAAAUUGGUGUUAUAUGAUCAUAUUUCUUGACUUUUUAAGAACUCAGCUGCAUUUUGGACUAGUUGUAGCUUGUUUAUUGAGGAUGAAGGACAACCAGCUAGUAAUGCAUUACAGUAAUCUAGUCUAGACAUCAUGAUUUAAAUAUAUAUAUAUAUAUUAGUUAAUCCAUGUCCUUGAGCAUGCAGUCGUCAUCAGGGCUCCUCCUCUUCACAGAUAACAGAUAUAAAGAACAUAACAGUGAUGAAACUAAAACUAAACAAAGCUCAAUUCUGAUCAGCACAUCUGCACUGAAAGCUUUUCAACACAUCCAAAUCUCAAACUACAGCUAAAAUGAUAGUGACUGCACCCACUAUCUGGUUUGUGUCUUUCUGUAAUUCUGUUGCAGUUGGUUUACAGUUUAUGAUGUUUAAGUCCUUCAAGAAACAGCAGGCCCUGGCACUGGCUGCACACCAGCGAAAGUGGGAAAUGGAGGAUCUAAGGCUUAAAUUACUAGGGGAAGAACUAGAGAAAAUCCGAAUAGAAUUAGAAAACCAUCAGUUGGAAAUGGCAAGAAUUCAAGCUGAGAAUAACUAUGGUUUAAUUCAGAAUACAGUAAAGUUGGUUAAGGAUAUUGUUCAUUUGUUUUCAAAAUAAAUGUUUUGUUUAAUUUCAUUUCAUUAUCCCAAUGUAUGUAUUAAUCAUGUCUCUAUUUUUCUUUUUUACAACUAUAACUAAUUUUUUUUUAACUGAAAAGGUUUAACACUGUAAAUCUUAUACACUUUUUGUAACUAUAAUGUGUAAACAAUCAUGUUGUUAUAGUGGGUGUUUUUAGGGUGUUUUUUCUUUCAGUAUGAAUAUUGAAUUAGAUUUUUAUGCAACAUUUACAACAAUUGUACAGAUUAAAAUUUGUAAUAUUUUAAUAUAUUUAUUCAUAUUUUCAUUUUUACACAGUUACAUAUCUGUUGCUUUCAAAUAACGUUCUCAUCGUGGCAUUUUGUCACUGCACCAGGGGUUAUCUGAAGCUUGACCAGAAAUAGUCUGCUUUUCUGAACUGAUGGAUCUAAUGAAUGGCUCUGAGUCAAGUUCAGAAUAGAAUAGUUGUGAGAUUUUCAGCCUGUAACAACUUUUCUAUGUGUGAUGUUUCAAUAAAGUGACUUUGUUUCAUUACGUGUGUGUCAUUAACAUCAAAGCUUUUGACUC